ensembl:lncRNA
GGACGCCUAAAUUUGGAAUCGUAUCACACCAAACAAUUUUGAGUGCAUUGCUCAGUUUGUCCUGUGGGUGGCAGUAAUAGAAAAACAGUCAUUUAUUAUGCCAUAACUUUUAUGUCUCUCAACGCGAGACCGCAUGCAGAGAGAAGGAGUUUCACGUGUGCAUCAGAACUAAACACACAAAAAAGAUACAGUAGGUGAUAUGAAGCAGACGCGACUGUGCAAAGACAAAAUCUGUUAAAAUGAAGAGAAAAAACGCAAAAGACAAAAUGUCCUCCUUCAGUAAGAAAAAAUAAAGAUCAUGGUCAGUCAAGACUGGAGAGAGAAGAUGCUCCAGAAUACAGCUUUUAUGAGCACAUGAUAAUGUUAGAGAUGAUCAUAAACACAUUUUCAGAUGACUGCCUAAGUUGAUUUGUGGAUAUGUUUGGUUUGUGUUAUAUACCUACAUGUGUCAUAUAGUUUACAGAUGCAGAAAAGUGCCUAGAUUUGAUUAGAUGCUAAAAAUGUGUUAUCAUUAUUGAUCAUUAUCACACUACAAUACAAAAUUACUUGUCAAAUAAAUGAAACAUUCAUGAAAUCGUUUUAUUAUUAUUUCUAGAGAUUGCAGUGAUACAUGCCAUGGUGAAAAAUGACUUGAAAUAAUCCUGAAAGCAGGUUAAGAUAAAUACCCCAAUACCAUGGUCUAGAACCGCGACUGAUUAUAGUGGAUCCCCCAUAAUGAACAAAUUAUAAGACAUAAGGGCAAAGAGAACGUUGAUACAUUUUUUUUUACAGAUCAGUAUGUUAUGUUGUCAGAAAUGUAGCUUAUAUAUGUGUCUAUACUGUAUAAAAAGAACAAAAGAAAUGUACAGUACUGUGUCAAAGGUAUGUGUUCCAAUCAGAGCCUGCUAUGUGUUGUUAUGAGCUGAGCAAACAUUUUACAUUGUUACAUCAUUAAAAUUAGCUUACUUUGUGUC